rnacentral:rRNA from 1 species
GACGAACGCUGGCGGCGUGCCUAAUACAUGCAAGUAGAACGCUGAAGAGAGGAGCUUGCUCUUCUUGGAUGAGUUGCGAACGGGUGAGUAACGCGUAGGUAACCUGCCUUGUAGCGGGGGAUAACUAUUGGAAACGAUAGCUAAUACCGCAUAGCAAUGGAUGACCCAUGUCAUUUAUUUGAAAGGGGCAAAUGCUCCACUACAAGAUGGACCUGCGUUGUAUUAGCUAGUAGGUGAGGUAACGGCUCACCUAGGCGACGAUACAUAGCCGACCUGAGAGGGUGAUCGGCCACACUGGGACUGAGACACGGCCCAGACUCCUACGGGAGGCAGCAGUAGGGAAUCUUCGGCAAUGGGGGCAACCCUGACCGAGCAACGCCGCGUGAGUGAAGAAGGUUUUCGGAUCGUAAAGCUCUGUUGUAAGUCAAGAACGAGUGUGAGAGUGGAAAGUUCACACUGUGACGGUAGCUUACCAGAAAGGGACGGCUAACUACGUGCCAGCAGCCGCGGUAAUACGUAGGUCCCGAGCGUUGUCCGGAUUUAUUGGGCGUAAAGCGAGCGCAGGCGGUUUGAUAAGUCUGAAGUUAAAGGCUGUGGCUCAACCAUAGUUCGCUUUGGAAACUGUCAAACUUGAGUGCAGAAGGGGAGAGUGGAAUUCCAUGUGUAGCGGUGAAAUGCGUAGAUAUAUGGAGGAACACCGGUGGCGAAAGCGGCUCUCUGGUCUGUAACUGACGCUGAGGCUCGAAAGCGUGGGGAGCGAACAGGAUUAGAUACCCUGGUAGUCCACGCCGUAAACGAUGAGUGCUAGGUGUUGGAUCCUUUCCGGGAUUCAGUGCCGCAGCUAACGCAUUAAGCACUCCGCCUGGGGAGUACGACCGCAAGGUUGAAACUCAAAGGAAUUGACGGGGGCCCGCACAAGCGGUGGAGCAUGUGGUUUAAUUCGAAGCAACGCGAAGAACCUUACCAGGUCUUGACAUCCCGAUGCUAUUUCUAGAGAUAGAAAGUUACUUCGGUACAUCGGUGACAGGUGGUGCAUGGUUGUCGUCAGCUCGUGUCGUGAGAUGUUGGGUUAAGUCCCGCAACGAGCGCAACCCCUAUUGUUAGUUGCCAUCAUUCAGUUGGGCACUCUAGCGAGACUGCCGGUAAUAAACCGGAGGAAGGUGGGGAUGACGUCAAAUCAUCAUGCCCCUUAUGACCUGGGCUACACACGUGCUACAAUGGUUGGUACAACGAGUUGCGAGUCGGUGACGGCAAGCUAAUCUCUUAAAGCCAAUCUCAGUUCGGAUUGUAGGCUGCAACUCGCCUACAUGAAGUCGGAAUCGCUAGUAAUCGCGGAUCAGCACGCCGCGGUGAAUACGUUCCCGGGCCU